UACAGAGGGUGCGAGCGUUAAUCGGAAUUACUGGGCGUAAAGGGCGCGUAGGCGGUUAUAUAAGUUAGAUGUGAAAGACCUGGGCUUAACCUGGGAAGGUCAUCUAAGACUGUAUGACUGGAGUGCGGUAGAGGGUAGCGGAAUUUCCGGUGUAGCGGUGAAAUGCGUAGACAUCGGAAGGAACACCAGUGGCGAAGGCGGCUACCUGGGCCGACACUGACGCUGAGGCGCGAAAGCGUGGGUAGCAAACAGG
rnacentral:rRNA from 1 species